CGUUCGUUGUGUCGCUUUCUUUUUGUCAUCGGUUUGCAUGCCUGCCGCUGCUGCCUGUUGGUCCAGCAACCUCUAGAUUUGUCUCUCUCAGGCUCUCGCUAGAAGGCUCGAGUCCGAUCCAGCGCCACCGCCGCACCGCCGUGUAUGACUAUAAAAAGUGACUCGCCUCCUCCCUUCCCUCCCACCCGCACCACCUAGCUCAUGCCUCCCCUCCUGCCGCAGCCCUUCCCUACAUCUCCUCUCCCCAUGGCCAAGCUGCGCCACAGACGCGGCGGGGAUGGUUACCGACACCGUGAGCCACAGAAGAACGAUUGAGUCCUGCAGCGCCGGCUUAGCGCCUUCCCGGCCGCCGGCGUCCUCUUCCACUUCCAAGCCAUCGAGGAGGACUGAUGUGGCUCUUCCCAUGGCGGCCUUGAGGUUUUGAUUGGGUCCUUGCAUCGGUUUUGACGGAGCCUGAUAGGAACGCCGGGAGAGAAGUAGCCUUGGAUUGGAGCAUCGUGGGCAUUUCAUCCUGUUUGUGGUGGCCACGGGGCAGGCCAUCGUCGAGAUCCAUCCCUGUGAGCCGCAGUUCAUCUGCGAUGGGGCAUUGGGGAGAAUUCGUGCUCGAUCCGGCUGCCACCACACGCCAUCUGGUGGGGAAGUAGAGGGGGUAGCCGAGCGGAGGAGCGGGCGCGGGUCGGCCGCAGCUCUGGGAGCUCCAGCGGCAGCAAGAGUGGUACAUGAUGACGGCCGCGCUGUAUCCGUACCUCCUCCCGCCGCUCUUCGACGACCUGCCGGCGGCGCUUUUGGCCGCGAGUGCUCUUUGGUCGUGGCCGCGGGAGCCAUGCACGAGCCGGCGUUUCACUAGUGCGCGUGCAGCGCCCUUUCGCUCUCCGGACGGCCUAAUCGAGCGCAUGUACCCAAUCCCCGUCUCUGUCCUCGCCACUGCCUCCGCCAGAAGCCCCGGCAGCGGUCUGCCGUCCUCCUUCCCUCUCAGCCAGAUGUUCUUGUGCUGCUAGCUCAUAUCUCUCUCCCGUACAAUACAAAGACGGGAUGCGUUUGAGGUUUGAACACAUCAUGGUAUGCUGGCUGGAACUCAAGGCGGGAUUUUCCGACCAAGUUUUUGGCCAUCCAAUUAACUCUGCUUGGAGGCUUGGACCUUCUAAUAAUUUUAUAAAUUUCAUUUGCUUACAUCAUCUCUACUGAUUAGGUGUUUAAUUUAAGCACUUAACUCUUUAUUCUGAUGGUUAAUUGUUGACUGGAUGUAAAUUUUCAUUUUUAACAAUGAUUCAGCAAUGCAAACUAUCUUCCUAAGAAUAUACUUCCGCUUUCCAAAAA